rnacentral:rRNA from 1 species
GGGGGGGGGGGGGGGGGGGCGGGGGGCGUGCGGGGCGAGCGGAGAGGCCCGGCGGGGGUGGGGGGCGCGAGUGGCGAACGGGUGAGUAACACGUGAGUAACCUGCCCUUGACUUUGGGAUAACUUCAGGAAACUGGGGCUAAUACCGGAUAGGAGCUCCUGCUGCAUGGUGGGGGGUGGAAAGUUUCGGCGGUUGGGGAUGGACUCGCGGCUUAUCAGCUUGUUGGUGGGGUAGUGGCUUACCAAGGCUUUGACGGGUAGCCGGCCUGAGAGGGUGACCGGCCACAUUGGGACUGAGAUACGGCCCAGACUCCUACGGGAGGCAGCAGUGGGGAAUAUUGCACAAUGGGCGGAAGCCUGAUGCAGCAACGCCGCGUGCGGGAUGACGGCCUUCGGGUUGUAAACCGCUUUCGCCUGUGACGAAGCGUGAGUGACGGUAAUGGGUAAAGAAGCACCGGCUAACUACGUG